GACACAGUGCUCUGGGGUCCAGAGAAGGAAGGAAGAUGGAGGGAGGGUGGCCCUCUGCUCCCUGACCCUGCUGCUCAGCCCCCUGCAGCCCUCCUGGAGCCCACACCUUUCAGCUGCAGUCUCCCAGCCUCUGUCCCCAGGAUGAAGCCCGCUACUUAGCUGGCUUUUCACCUCCAGAUGGCAUAAAGUGAAGAAGGGUCCCCUGUCCCUGCCCCGCAGGGCCCCCACACAAGACUCUCCCAUCACUUCCUGUCUCUCUCAGAUGCAGAGGCAGAGGCAGCCACAUGCCCUGUCCCAGCCGCAAUCACACCCUCAUAUUCAUAUAAUCACAGACCCCCACCCCACACAGUCAACACCCCAACCUCAGGUGCCACACACACCCCACACGUUCCCGCCAGCGCAUUCCACUCACACACACAUAUCCCAUUCUCAAACGCGUGCACCCAAGCCUCGUGACGCACACACGACGGGGCAGGCCGCAGAGCCAGCGGAGAGUCUCAGCGCGCAUGGACGCCUGGACCGCGCAGGGACGCGCCCAGGACCGCGCCCAGCCAGGGGUCCCCGUCUGCACCUCAGCUGCCUGGAUCCAGCACCAUGGGACGGGCUGGGGGCGGGGUAGGGGCGGGGACCCGCAGAUGCAACCUGCUACGCUGGAGUGCCACAAACCCCACUACCGCCCCUACCCUCCCUGUCCAGCCAAGCCACGCCACCCGGGCCCACCCCCAGGACACGGAGUUUAAGGACCGCGUCUCCCGAGAUGCCAGAGGGACCUGCGUCCGCACUGCCCCAGUGUGACCCGCAUACCUACCGGCCCCGACCCCGAACCGCAUGGCGUCCGCCCGAGCCCUGGCGCUGCUGGGUCUCCUGCUGCUGCCGCUGCUCGCAGAGCCCAGGAACCUCUGCCCGCAGCUUAUGACGGUCAUUAACCAGUUUCUGACCAAAGACAAGGACACCUACAUGGACUCUGUCAACAGAUACCACCUCACGGAGCCGGAAAGAAACACAUCCUCUAAACUCAAGGACUGCGUGACCGACACAAUGACCCCCGAGGAGACACAGGCCGUCGUGCAGCAACUGGAAGAAAUCAACAACCAGUGUGCCGACACGAUACUGAAGUAACACCAUCCACGGGCACCUCGGGUUCCUGUCCAGGCUGCCUGUCCCACCCAUGAGAAUCUGGGCCCAGGGCCCCGCCCUCCCUAGCUCCCGCCCUGCUGCUGCCUCUACUCCCUCUCCUGCUGUGCUGACUGGGGCAAGCCUGGGAGCCGCUGCCCCCCACCUCCCCACCCAGGCCUGUCCCCUGCGGGACAAUGCUGCCUAAUAAACUCACCUGCAUCCA